rnacentral:rRNA from 1 species
GCUACCAUGCAAGCCGAGCGGUAGAGAUUCUUCGGGAUCUUGAGAGCGGCGUACGGGUGCGGAACACGUGUGCAACCUGCCUUUAUCUGGGGGAUAGCCUUUCGAAAGGAAGAUUAAUACCCCAUAAUAUAUUGAAUGGCAUCAUUUAAUAUUGAAAACUCCGGUGGAUAGAGAUGGGCACGCGCAAGAUUAGAUAGUUGGUGAGGUAACGGCUCACCAAGUCUACGAUCUUUAGGGGGCCUGAGAGGGUGAUCCCCCACACUGGUACUGAGACACGGACCAGACUCCUACGGGAGGCAGCAGUGAGGAAUAUUGGACAAUGGGUGAGAGCCUGAUCCAGCCAUCCCGCGUGAAGGACGACGGCCCUAUGGGUUGUAAACUUCUUUUGUAUAGGGAUAAACCUACCCUCGUGAGGGUAGCUGAAGGUACUAUACGAAUAAGCACCGGCUAACUCCGUGCCAGCAGCCGCGGUAAUACGGAGGGUGCAAGCGUUAUCCGGAUUUAUUGGGUUUAAAGGGUCCGUAGGCGGAUGUGUAAGUCAGUGGUGAAAUCUCACAGCUUAACUGUGAAACUGCCAUUGAUACUGCAUGUCUUGAGUGUUGUUGAAGUAGCUGGAAUAAGUAGUGUAGCGGUGAAAUGCAUAGAUAUUACUUAGAACACCAAUUGCGAAGGCAGGUUACUAAGCAACAACUGACGCUGAUGGACGAAAGCGUGGGGAGCGAACAGGAUUAGAUACCCUGGUAGUCCACGCCGUAAACGAUGCUAACUCGUUUUUGGGUUUUCGGAUUCAGAGACUAAGCGAAAGUGAUAAGUUAGCCACCUGGGGAGUACGAACGCAAGUUUGAAACUCAAAGGAAUUGACGGGGGCCCGCACAAGCGGUGGAUUAUGUGGUUUAAUUCGAUGAUACGCGAGGAACCUUACCAAGGCUUAAAUGGGAAAUGACAGGUUUAGAAAUAGACUUUUCUU